UAAUACGUAGGGUGCAAGCGUUAAUCGGAAUUACUGGGCGUAAAGCGUGCGCAGGCGGUUUUGUAAGACUGACGUGAAAUCCCCGGGCUCAACCUGGGAAUGGCGUUGGUGACUGCAAGGCUAGAGUUUGGCAGAGGGGGGUAGAAUUCCACGUGUAGCAGUGAAAUGCGUAGAUAUGUGGAGGAACACCGAUGGCGGAGGCAGCCCCCUGGGUCAAAACUGACGCUCAUGCACGAAAGCGUGGGGAGCAAACAGGA
rnacentral:rRNA from 1 species